GUGGUUGUGGCUCAGUGGUAGAGCACUUGCCUCACAUGUAUGAGGCACUGGGUUCAACUCUCAGCAGCACA
rnacentral:tRNA from 1 species